GUCGGGGGGCGCCGGGCGCAGGCCGGGCAUGGGGCCUGAGCUAGGCCAGGUGGAAAGGUGGAAGGACCUAGUUGGGACAGACGAAGAGACCGAGGAGCCGCCCGCCCGGCUAAACGGACACAGGAAAGGCCUGAGUCAGGCUUCUCAUAAUAAAUAAACUGCACGUGAAUAAUUCAGCAGUCGCGCGGGGGACGGUUGCAUUAGCGCCGCCGCCGCCGCGCGGCGCCCAAUUCCCCGCGGAGGGGAGUAGCCAAUUAAGGCACUUGAAAAGGGAGUCGGGUAGAAGAUCCCCCGCCCACCAGUAUCCUGGAUUUACCCAGGUCGAGUUCAGAGAGCCUCCCCGGUCCCAACCCCCUCGGGCCCUAUGGGUCAGGGGGCCGCCUGCUGGGAAGUGCUACCUCAGCUAAGCCGCUCCGGUGUCCCGAGACUCCGGGCAAGGGAAGACAGGCGGCGAGACGGAGCCAGAAUAAGGCAUGCGGACGUCUGACAUGUGGAAACCCCAGCAUCUGCAGUGCCCAGCCGCACAGGGAACGUGGGCGGCGUGGUUCCAAGCAAAGUGAAGACGCCAGGCUCGGAUCUGUGCUCAGAGCCGGGAUCCCUCCGGGCUGCUUCGUCCUGGCCAGGACUUUCCUUACCCUGAAGUGAGGCGCCAGGGAAGCUGCAGGGCCCUCCGCCCUCUCUGAACUCCCACGUACUUGGGCCUCUCCCAGCCUUUCUUGGACCUGUGGAUGCAAUUCCUGCAGGACCAGACUCCCCUGUCUCCCCGCGGCCCCCUAGGUACACUCCGUAACUUCCGAAACCUUAUUUCGUUUGAGCGAAACCCGGCCCCUUUGGCUCUUCCCACUUCCCACAAGUCCCUGGGUUCCCGAUCCUGAGGGAUUGCAUUCAUCCCAUCUCACACCCACCAACGCUCAAUCCCUCCAGUUCCUCCCCAGCCCCUUCACUUCCAUUAAUUAGGUCGACUCCCUUCCUUCGCCGCCCCCUCCUGUCCCCAUGCAGCCUCCCUACACCUAUGCUGCGAGCCUCGGGCCAAGACCUCCGCCCUGGCUCCGCCAGUCCUGCGGGGGCCGGCAUGCACCAGGCCUCAAAAGGGAUCUUCGCGGGAAUUCCGCAUAGCCAGAUCCCAAGCCUCCAGGGAGGCCACCAGCCCUCCCCCAUCUUCUUCUUCCUCCUCCUUCUCCUUUCCUCUUCCCUCCGCCUCUACGUAUUUCUUUCUAUUCGUUUCUUUUCGUUUGGUGAGGUGCCACCCGCCACAGCCCUGUCCCCUAGGGAGAGGCCUGGACUAACUUUGCCGUCCUCGUGGCCUUAGCCCGGACUGUGAGUCUCGAGCGGCUUCCGAGAGGCAGCUCGGGUGUCUUCGCAGAGACAGGUGAGGUGGGCUGGCGAUUCCCUAGCCUCAGAUGGCUCUGCCACCAGCCAGCUCUGUGAUCCUGGUUUUUACAGCCGCUGGGGUGCCAGGCAUUAGAAACCUUCCCUCCAAUCCUCACCAUGUCUCCAUUUUGCCAAAGAAGAAACUGAGGUUAAGGUCGCGAUGCUCUGGCCAGCAUCACAGGUAAAUGAUUUUGGCAGUGCCCGGAGAAGGACAGAAGUAAGACCUAAAGACGAACUUUCCGCAUGUUAUGGGAGAGCCCCUGGGGCGAGGAGGCGAGGGCAGCCUUCCCCAGGCCAAGGGAGCAGCCAUCGCUCUUGGAUCUGUUUUUCCUCAAGCGUCUGUCCUGUGGGGCCUAGUCCCCAGCCGCAGUCCUGGACCUAACGGGAGAAGGGGCUGGGGGAAGAGGGCGCACCCCCAGCCCGGGACCCACAGCAGCCCUAGCCAGUCCCCCACUCUCUCCCUCUCUAGGGGCCUCUCUCUGAGAUCGGGUCCUCCUCCUGCAGGGCAGCAGAGUGGAAGCCAGGGCCUGGGACCCUCUGGCUGGGCAAGGAGGGACUGGAGUCCGGCUCCCGUCGACCCCGUCCCCAGUGCCAGCGGCGGGGUCGCCCGUGGCGGCCCGGACAGGCCACGGGUCCCUCUCCACAAGUCCCAUUACGUUGUAUUUAUGUUUCAUUUUAUAGUUUUUUUUUCCUCCUCCCUUAUUAUUGUCUCACUCUGGGGGAGGCAAAGGAUAUAAUAUAUUCAUCUUUAUUAUACCAAAUCUGUGUGAAGCAUUUAAUAAAACGCUGUUUCCACACAGCCA